CGUAUUGCAGUUAUAUAAAAUGCGGAUCCGGAUUUGAUUUUAUGAACCUGGAUGAUAUCCGGUCCGGGUCAGGGUUUAGGUGAACCCGCAUAUCCGAAACCCGGACCCGGAUAUCUUUCAUUUUAAUAUUAAAUUUUUAAUAAUUUUUAAUAUAAAUAGAAAAGAAAGGAAGGAAAUAAUAAUGCGCACAGCCGGCCCUAAUUUUGCAAUUCGCAUUCCUCUUCUCAAAUCUCACAUCCGCCAGCCGCCAACCAUAUUUCCUUUUCUCUUCAUCAAAUCAAGUCGUCGUCGUCAUCACUUCGGCCAUUUUCUCUUCUCUGUGUUCAUUAUCAUCAUCAGUUGCUGUGUUCCUCUUCUCUGCACUGCUGCGACCACCAUUCCUUCUCAAUCGUUCAAGUGUUGCAAAAUCGCCUGGAU
rnacentral:lncRNA from 1 species